rnacentral:piRNA from 1 species
UUGUUAGAAUGAGUUACAGAGCAGGUAAA